rnacentral:rRNA from 1 species
UACGUAGGGGGCAAGCGUUGUCCGGAAUCAUUGGGCGUAAAGCGCGUGUAGGCGGCCCGGUAAGUCCGCUGUGAAAGUCCAGGACUCAACCCUGGAAUGCCGGUGGAUACUGUCGGGCUCGAGUCCGGAAGAGGCGAGUGGAAUUCCUGGUGUAGCGGCGAAAUGCGCAGAUAUCAGGAGGAACACCGAUGGCGAAGGCAGCUCGCUGGGACGGUACUGACGCUGAGACGCGAAGGCGUGGGGAGCAAACAGG